UGUGUGAAAUUGUUAUCCG
rnacentral:rRNA from 1 species